GACUUGUUGCUAUAGGGCUCACCAAUUUGGCUGCCUUGGUGAAUCUUGUCUGCCCCUGCAUCUUAUUUAAAUUUCUCGUUUUGAGCCUUGAUAUGUGAUUUACUAAUCUGAGCUCAAUUUUCAAUGAAGCUGGAUAAUAGGUGUACGGGACUACUUUUUUGAACUAUACUCAUUGAUGGUGCACGUAAGCUGGGGCGUACAUUUCUACUGAAAAAAUUGGAACAGAGUUUUAUUGCGAUAGUUCCAAAUUGGGCCCUCAAAAAUGUCGAGCGGAGAUGGACGAAAAGUCUCCUGUGAAGAUAUACAAAUGGUGCAAAAUCGGAUAGAGCAGUGUCUUCGGCAAUACAUGAGUCGGAAAGAAGUUGUGAACACUCUCUUAAUCCAGGACAACAUAGAACCUAGAUUUGCUGAACUCG